rnacentral:lncRNA from 1 species
UGUAGAUUUUGAUGAGGAAUUUACUCACCUCCUCUCAAACUUUACUGAAAUAGCUACAUUUAACAACGCAGGAUCGCAAAGGUGAUCUGUCUCCCUUUUUCCAUUUACAUGUAAACAGGAAAGCUGUUGAUAGAAUCAUGGUCAAUAAUCACUGUAUUCUUCAUGUUGUGAUGCUUUUGCUUUCAAGUCUGCGAAGAAAAUCACAUAGAACUUCAGAGAGAACUUUUGCCUGAAUCACGACGCUCCAGGUUGGUAUUCUGGUGCGUGAAAAAUAACCCCCAAAGUUUCCAUGACCUCACAGUAUGGAGCCUUCUGUACAAAUAAAGCAUGAACUUGAACACAAUGUCCUAGGGAAGGUCUCAAGUCUCAAAAGGAAGCGAAAUGGUUUCCUUUUUCAUAAUGUCUUUUCCUGAGCACUAUAAUUCACCUGGCCAUUGGGAACCUUGAAGAAUCUGCCUACAAUCUGCAGCCAAGCUUCUUGGGAAUGAUGGAGUCACUGUUUCAGAGGGUGACCAAAAGCAUGCUGAUCUUCCACAUCUCUGCAGAUUCUCAAGAGGUCAAUCACUUCGCACUUGUUCUCAAAGGGAGAACUUAAGGUAAUGGGAAGUCAUCGAGGCUUUGACAGAGAAGCGAUUUGGCUUGGCACAUGCACACAAGCCCAACUGCUCUUUGAGAAAGAAAUACAUUUAUUUGAUACUUGGUUCUUUUUGAUGCUAAUUUCUGCUGAAUUCCAGCUGCCCAAUAGCUCCUACGUCCACAUGUGCUGUUUCCGUGUUAAUGCUGAAGUCCUUGCAUCAGAACUCAGCACCUUCCGAGCUCCUCAAAGAAUCCAGUCUCACAUUAUCAAUUCCAAGCAAGGAUCUCAACCAAGACACCAAGUAACACAUGAGGUGCAAAAUGUGGAUGGAGAGAAGCAUUGAAGAACAUGAGGAGAAUGGGAAACAAUUGGAUCACAGCUAGGUCUUAAAGGACAUAUAAUGGUGGCAAGAGAAACCUGGAAUAAAGAAAACAGUCUUCACAUAGGGGAUUCAGCUUGGGCAAAUGUAGAGAGGUAGAAAAAGAAUGAUAAGUUUAGGGAAAAUAAAAUGAGUAGAUAAUCCUGGCUGAACGUAUAGGCCCAUUACAGGGAAGUGGGAG